GUGUCCACUUGGGCAGCACCUAUACUAAAAUUGGAACCUCACAGGGAAGAUGAGCAUGGUCCCUUUUAAAGGAUGACAUACAAUUCUGUGAAGCGUUCUGUAUUUUU
ensembl:snRNA U6 U6 spliceosomal RNA